rnacentral:lncRNA from 1 species
AUGCUGCCUGCCCUAAUGACAAAUUGUAAUCACUGUCCAGGCACUUGCAGUGUUUGCCAUCUCUGCAGUGCUCACAGUGCCUCCUCAGGCUGUAGAAGAGAGAUGUCUCCAGAAACACAGAGAAUAACACGAUUGUGGAUACUGGCAGUUGAUUUCCCCUGUACCAGAGGAUGUUGCCUCUUUGGCAAAAUGACUCCUGUGUCUGUACACUGUCUUCUCAAGUGUUCUACGGGCCUGUUUGCAAGGCUGCUGAGCCCUCUGUGUGCAGGAGAUCUGUCCUUCUCUCCAAGCCUCCCUGCCUUGUCUACCAGGUCCCCAGAGACCCUCCUCUAGGCAGCCUUACGGACAGAAGUAGCUCUGAGCUCUUCCUGAUUAGUCCUAUCCUGCCAGUGUGCCCUCACUCCUUCCUUCCCUUAGAAAUGGAGUAGUUCUGAGCUGCUCUCAAGAAGAGAUGGUAUCCACCUGAGAGCUUACAUGCAACACGAGGUUGGGGGCUCAAAUUUACAAGGCUGUAUCUGGUAAACCUUUUAUAACUGCACUUUGGUGUGUACAGAAAGAUCAUGUGUGCUGCUUCUGUUUUUUUCUCCUAGGAGCUGUAAAAUCAUCUCAGUAUGGUAAUGUGGAACUUAUGGAUUAUGCAAGAGUUGGCUGUAUGUACAUGGUGUUAGAAAAUUGAUUUGUUUUAUUUUAAGACUAUUUAAUUGUAGUCCAAAAGCACCUGGUUACUUGUCCUCCAUUCUUGGCCAUUUCUCUUGUACUUGGUUCUUAGCUGUGAUAGUAUAUACAGCUGUGUGUUAGUUUCCUUACCUGUAGACUAUGUUCCUGGGCAUUAUGGAUAUGAAUGUAAGAAUAUGUGGCAAGGCUGCAGUGAUAAUGAGCAGAGUUAACUGCAGUGGCUCAUCUGGACUGGAUCAUUCAUCUGUACCUUUCACUGAUGUUUUUUGUCUCCUUUUUGUCCCAUUCUAAAUGAGAACAAUUCUCAGGAAGUCUAAAAAAGUGACUUCCUUAUGAAAGAGCUUACCUUGAUGUCAUUGGAUAUUGCUGUUAUCCCAUAAUUUAUGGAGGAGGUAGAAUAACAGGGCAUGAGUCCCAUCCUACAGUGCUGAUUCAUUCUUAGCUCCUAUACAAAGACUGCUAGGUUUUCAUUUGGUAGCCUAUAUACAGAUGGUAUGAUUUCAGUUUUUUGUCUGGGAUGUUCCCUCCCGUUUCAUGCACUUCGCUUCUCUAAAGGGUGGUCACGUCUAACCUUUAGUGCUCUUAGAAUGGGAAGAGAGGGGUCACCGCUCCACAGUUACCAUGCGCAUGCUAUCUGUCAUAGCCAGGUUUGAUGCUCUUCUUUAUUACAGAUGUUGAGAGUUACCUGAAGCACACUUUCCUGAAUUUGCAGAUUCUGGCUAUUGGAUAUAGAGUUGAGCGACUGCCUCAUCA